rnacentral:lncRNA from 1 species
GAAAGGAAGUGGGUUGUUUGAAGAAGUUGGAAAGUUUGGUAUGCCAUUUUGAAGGUUACUCAGACUACGUGGAGUUUAUCAAAUCUCGGGAUGAAACCAAAUCACUAACCACAUACCAAAUUCUUGUAGGACCACUGGAUAAGUAUCGUUAUGGUUAUGGUUAUGAUUAUGAUAAUGAUGGUUGCAGAAGGAAAACAAUUGUUUGGGGUAACUUGAGUAUCGACAGAGAUGGAGGUUUUCAGGUCAUGUUUCCAAAGGACAUUCAACAAUUGACUAUUGAUAAUAAUGAUGAUGCAACAAGUUUAUGCGAUUUUUUAUCUCUAAUAAAGAAUGCAACUGAACUGGAGGCUAUCAAGAUUUUUAGUUGCAAUAGCAUGAAGAGCUUGGUUUCAUCUUCUUGGUUCCGCUGUACUCCGCUACCAUCUCUAUCUUACAACGGUAUAUUUUCUGGUCUUAAACAGUUUAAUUGUUCUGGUUGUAAGAGCAUGAAGAAGUUGUUCCCUCUUGUCUUGCUGCCAAGCCUCGUAAACCUGGAAAAGAUUACAGUUAAAGGUUGUGAGAAAAUGGAGGAGAUAAUAGAUGAAACAAGACCAGAUGAAGAGGGGGUUAUGGGUGAAGAAACCAGCAGCAGCAAUAUCGAAUUCAAACUCCCAAAGUUAAGAUAUCUGAAAUUGGAGGGAUUACCAGAACUGAAAAGGAUUUGUAGUGCAAAACUGAUUUGCGAUUCUAUCGGAGUAAUUGACGUAAGAAAUUGCGAGAAGAUGGAGGAGAUAAUAAGUGGAACAAGAUCAGAUGAAGAAGGGGUUAUGGGUGAAGAAAGCAGCAGCAGUAGCAUCACCGAUCUCAAACUCACAAAAUUAAGUUCUCUAUCAUUUAUUGAAUUACCAGAACUGGAAAGCAUUUGUAGUGCAAAACUGAUUUGCGAUUCUCUCAAAGAGAUUGCAGUUUAUAAUUGUAAGAAGCUGAAAAGGAUGCCAAUUUGUCUUCCGUUGCUUGAAAAUGGCCAGCCAUCUCCUCCCCCUUCUCUUGAAGUAAUCUAUGCAACGCCAAAAGAAUGGUGGGAGUCAGUAGUGGAUUGUGAGAAGCUGAGGAGGUUGCCAAUUUGUCUUCCGUUGCUUGAAAAUGGCCAGCCAUCUCCUCCCCCUUCUCUUAAAUACAUCAGGGUAGAUUCAGAAGAAUGGUGGGAGUCAGUAGUGGAGUGGGAGCAUCCUAACGCUAAGGAUGUCCUUCGUCCCUUUGUACAGUAGUCAGUAGUCAGAUUUUGAAUGAGUGACAACAGUACUGCCCUUAAUAUAAUAUUAAAUUAAGAGUAAGCAUUGUUGUUUUAAUUGGAUUAAGCUUAAGCUAUGUGUCUACUUAAUGACUGAUGUGUUCAUUAUAUUACCUGGAAGACAUUUAUUUAGAGAGUAAAACAUCAAAUGCAAGACAGUGGUGGAGUGGGAGCUUCCUCCGUCCCUUUAUGGAGUUUUCAUACGUAAACAUUCAUGUGAAACUCUUGUGAUUAAAAGUAGCUCAUUGAUAUUAAAAUUAAUUAUUUUUUUUUUGUAGUUAGAACAGUUGUCAAUUAAGAUUUUUUUUUUCUCUAUCAAAAUCUGACCACUCUUUUCCUCUCUAGAAUUAAAAAUCUAAAACUAAAAAAAAAAAAUUAGACUAAAAUUGUCUUUUUGAAAAUUUGAGGGAUUGAAUAUUUAUAACUUGAAAAGCAUGAGGACCAAAAUGAACUUUUCAUGCUUAUUUUUAAAUUACCACCCAUUUUAUCGAUCCAUUUCUUUUAAUUUGAUUCUUUUUCUUUCAAUCUUAUAUGGGCUCAACAAAUUUAAAGUAAUUGUGUUUAAAUCUUAUAUGAAUAGUGUUUUGGUUCUGCAUUGUAUAUGCGACGACGCAUUGAAUUUCCUAUAAUAAUUAGAGUCAUUGCAAUUUGCAAGCAACUUUAUGUUUUUUUGAUCUAAAGGAAUAGACUGAACCAUAUUCACCUAAUCCUCAGAAAAAAAUGUGUCGAAUUGUCAAGAACACCAGAAUGUUCUUCUGCCUUUAGUGUCGUCUGCACUUGAUGAAUUGAAAUACCAAAUGCAUAAAGAAUGGGAAAUUUUACGAUUUUAUAAUCUAUUUUUACCAUUUAAAUUUAUAUUAUAUUUUUCAUAUCAUAUAAAAAAUAUAUUUUUAACAACUUUAUUACGUUCAAAGUAACACGCCGUCAUCUUCUCAAUGAUAUUACACAUGCCUGCGACAAAUGUGUGGUUUGGCCUUUACCACAUCUUUUAUUUUCUCCUCCUUAUUUUGUCUCUCUUUUCAUAGAAAAAUAAAAAAUUGUACUUUUAUUUUGUUUUUGUAUUUAAUUUAUUUUUUAUAUUUUUAAUUGUUAUAUAUUUUAUUUUAUUUUAAAAGUUUUUCCUUCAAUUUCAUACCUAUCAUUCUUUUAAUUGCUAUUUUUUAAUUAUUUUUCUAAUUACAUUUGGUUUUUAAUUUAAUCUUUUAGCAUUUGAUUUCAAAAUAUUUUUAUAUCAAAUUUAGUCAUUAUUUUUUUUUAUUAUUAUUUUGUUUUGAAGCCUUUUAUUUUGUAUUUUUUUUUCAAAUUCAUCCCUCAUUAUUUUGUUGAUUUAUAAUUUUGCUUUUUUAUUUUUUAGAGUUUGUUUUCUAUGUGGUUGGUCCCUAGCUCAUGAGCUUUUUUUAUUGUAUUUUUUUUAAAUCUAUCUCUCACUAUUUUGUUGAAUCUGAUCUAUAUCUUAGGCUUAUUUUUUUAAAAUUGAAUUUUUUUUCUCUUUCAUCUUUAUAUAUUUUUGAUUUAUUGGAGGUUAGUUUUCAUACCUUUAUUUUCAACUUCUUUUAUGUUUAAUUAUCUUAAUUUUAUGCUCAUAUUUAUGAAUUUAAUGUGUUGACAGGAGCGAAAUAGAUGAAAAAAAUUUAACUUAGAAUGUGAAAAAUCUUAAAUAUUACGGUGCAAUAAUACUGCACUAUCAAACAAGUGAAAUGAGACUAUUCAACACUUCAAGAGCAUCAAACAUCAAGGAAGAUCAGUGUAGUCUUAACUAAAAUAUUCACUUGCAACUUUUCCUAGUAGUCUGCAUGCUGUAAUUCUGGCCUUUCAAAGACCAAUAUUUUUUUGAUAAUUUCCUAUAAAUUAACUCUUCAGGUGUCAAAAAUAUAUGCAGUGAAACUCUAUAUAAACUUUUUAAAUAAUUGACAAAAAUUAAUGUUUUUAUAGCGUAGAUGGGAGAUGCAUGUUUGGCCAUUGCAAGAUGUUCUGUAGCAAAAAAUCUAGUGAGAAAUUUAUGAAAAAUGAAAAAAAAAAGUGCAAAAAGUUAUUCUAAAUUAAUACAUACAAUGCGUAUGUGGAAUUUUCUUAGCCUUGGCAUGACAAAUUAACAGUAGUGGUUUGUGGAAGAAGCCGCCAACUACCAUCGAUCAACUAGUAUAGGUGAGGGGUGGUAUUAAAAAUAAUUUUUUAAAAAUUAAAAUAUUAUUUUAAUAUAUUAAAAAAAAAUACGAUCAUUAUUUUAAUUUCAAACAUCCCUGAAGAAGUGUCAUUGCCAUGAUAAAUUUGACAGUAGUGGUUCCAACUUCCAACUGCAAUCAACCGAUUAAUAAUUGCGAGGGAGUGAUCCUCUGUUUUAAGGUUGAAUGUAUCUCAUCAUUCCACAAGACACUUCAUUUCGAUGCUGAUUGGUUAUGAGUAAAAGUUUUAAUUUUUUAAUUAAUAUUUUCUUUUAUUUUUUAAGAUAUAUGGUGAUGGUAUAAAAAAAAUAAAAAAAAAAUUAUUUUCAUAUAUUUUCAAAUAAAAAAUAUUUUUAAAAAUAAUCUUUACCAUAAUCUUUAAUAUUUCACACCAUACUUUUCUCUUUUCGUGCUCAAUAUUUUUUUUAUUUUUAAAUAUUUAUAUUUAGUAAUAGUUUUUUUUUUUCAUUAUGAUUUAGGUAUGGUUGUGAAAUUCAUGAUAAUAUAUUGGAUAUUUAGUUUUUUUCCAUUCUGGGGUCAUUUUUUAUUUGUAAUUCAUAUGAAUUAUUAGUUAUUUAGUGAUUUGGGAUAACCUAAUCAAGUCGUGUAAAGUAUAAAUUACAUCGCGGCUUGAAACGUAGAAGAAAGGUCAAGCAAUAUCCUUAUGGGAUUCUUCUCAUUUCCAUCGCGGCUUGAAAUAGAGAGCCCAAAUAAGCAAGGGUAGUCUUGGAAUGGUCGACAUAUAAUUUUAUGGCUGAGGUGGAAAAUGCAUGUUAGGCCUUUGCAAGAUGUUCUCUGGAUACAAUGAGUUGCUAGGGAAGAUUACGUUCAAUGUAUCUCAUCAGUCCAAAACACACUUCAUUUCACAGUAUCCUUUUCAUGGAUACAAUGAGUUGCUAGGGAAGAUUACGUUGUUCACUGGUAAUUUUUUUCCCAUUUCACUAAUAUAAAACGAGAGCCUUGAAGAAGUGGUUGAUGUAAAUUUUCCUUGUUUUUAUUGGAUUUUUUUUGUGUUAUUUUGAAUUUUAAGUCAAUUUUCUUUUAUUUUUAUGAUUUUGAUCCCAUAGUCUAUUUAAAAUACAUAUGAGUUUCUCAUAUGUGAUCUUACCAAAUCGAACCCACCAACCACACCUCAUAAACAGAUGAGUUUCUCACCAAACUUGACACUUUCAUGCAUCAAUGCUUUGGUGUCUUCUCUUUUGAUCUUCGUUGUUGAAGUUUUCCCCUCUUCAUUUUUGUGCAGACAUGAAGAUGUGAAUCACUAUGAGUUGAAGGCACCACAUCCAAAAAUGGCUCACCCCUGGCCAGACCACUUCCCACUGCAAGUAGCCAUGGGUGCAGCAGGUGACGAUGCUGAGGCCAAAUUAGUGCACAGAAGGUGGACUAAUGGUACCCUUAAUUUCUUAUGCUUCCUACCAGUUCACAGCACCUAAAUAAAAUCUUCAUCAACAUUACAAGUGCUGCUGGAAUCCUUGUAGGCUGACAUUAUUAGCUAUAAAAUGAUAAUCUUGUGGAUAAUUAUAUGAAAGUACCCUAAACUGAAAAGAAAAAAAGGUAUUCAAAGUAGAUGGUUUUAGAACUUAGUUAAUUACAACAAAUUCUAAAUUUUUAACAAAUUUGUUAUAUAUCGAGAUGAUUUCUUAUCUUUAAUAAAUAGAUCCAUUUUAAUAAUACAUUGCAGUUAAUUUAUCCCUAAUUUCACAAAUCAACUCGUAAAUACUUGUUGCAUAUAUAGUUCACAUAUGCAAGCCAAACACAAAUAAAAAUUCUUUUUCUUGAGUUUUCUUAUUCCAGCUUCCAAAUUCUUAUUUUGAUUAGUAAUGUAAAAAAUUAAUUAUUUUUGUUAGAUUUAUUUUUAAUAGUUUUAAUAUACUAAUAUAAAAAAUAAAAAAUAAAUAAUCUAAAAUAAUUAUUUUAAUAUAAAUAAUCUAAAAUACAUAUAUUAGAUUCCAGGUGGAUUUCCAGCUAAUAUGAACGUCAGCCAAGCCAUCAUCAAGAAGAGCAAGGUAAAACAAAACUCAUCAAUUGGGUCCCUAAUAUUUGAAACAAAUGAAAAUUUACAAAAGCAAUAAUAAUGAAGAAUUUAUAUGUGAGAAAGACUGAUUUUGGAAUCUGAAUCUCCCUAUGAUGGAUCAGAAUUGCAUAACAUAAUCGCCUUAUUACAUAUUUUCUUGGUAAAUAUCUUUAGAAAAAUCAUUAUUAGUUGUAAUAUUGGGAAAGAAUUAUAUUGAACUGAUUUACAUUUAUUUAUUUGUUGUAUUCAAAAUAAAAAUAAUAUAUGUCACAGCAAUUCUGGAAACCAGGCACCAAGAAACCCCGCAUCCUCGAAGAGCAAGAAGGCGGUGUCGUUUUCUUUGCCCCCUCUCUCUUCCGCCUCCUCUUCCUCCGGGUUUGGAUAUGCAAGUACUGGGAGUCAAAGGCAGAGAUUGAUUUUUAAGCUGAUGGGAAUACAUUCACCUGAUGGAAAAUUCUAAGGAUGCAUUGGAGUCGGGACUUUUAAAUGCCAGUAUUAUCCAAGGAUGAUUACCAAAGGAAAGGUUUUAAAUUCUGCCUUCCAUGCAUGGACUCUAGCCUCAGCAUUCCGAAUCUUACCAUCUGUUUUAAACUAUGUGUUUGAGUUGCUUGUAAUCUUCAAUGAAUCGAAAUAAUCGAAAUACAACCAAUGGAAUUUCGAUUAGCUUCCUUAAAAAGUUUCAAACCUUUUUACAUUGCCUGAAUAAGGGUUUCUUCAUUCAGUCUGAUUCUUAUUAGUUUGAUGACGUGAAUUUAACUAGCCUUUAUCUGAAAGUUUUGGGAGGUUUUGAAUUGAAUGAUAAGGAAGCACAGAUUAUCAGAAAGGUUUAAGAGAUUUGGUGAGGGAAAUUAGGGAAUCAAUAAGAAAUUAGGCUUAGAGGAAGACUAGCAAUUAAAGUCAUUGCAAUUUGCAAGCAACUUAAUGUUUUUUUACUCUAAAGAAAUAAAACAGAGGUGCGAAUCCCUUGUGCUUUCUUUGUCCUGUAUGCAAUGAUUACUCUCAUGGAAACCACCAUGCAAACUUCAUGUCACUUUCUGCUUUAUUUAUUCACACUAACUAUUCAACGAGUUCACAUUACACUGCUUUAAGUCCUCGAGUCUAAUGAAUUAAUGAAGAUAGAAACUUCAAAGAAAAUCACUUGGCUAGAAAUAACAUACUUCAGUACUGGAGUCUGCAGCUAGCAUGGAUAAAAAAACUAUCUCCUUCCUUGUUAGAGAGGGCUCUGACAUUGCUUCCCAUCUGGCACACUGUAACUUGCAGAUCCGUUUGGCUUUUGAGCUGUGGACUCCCCAUCACUUCAACUGAUUUGUUGUUUCUUUGACCACAAGAUGUUGAUUGUCUAGGGAAAUUCCAAGGACGCAUUGGGGUCAGAACUUUUAAUUGCCAGUAUUAUCCAAGGAUGAUUACAUACUGCAUGCUUCUAAGACAAAUAAAAAAUGUAUCAGUUCAUUUAAUGUAUUAGUUCUAAUUAAGUCAUUAAACAUAUUUGCUAGUUCGUGAUCAUUCCAAUUUUCUUGUUGCUGCUGUUGUCCAUUAACUCUCGUAUUUCUUGACUUAUCUGUCAGUAAAAUGAUUAAUGUUUCUUUCAAUUUUUAUGCCUGCAUAACGUAUCAGGAUAAAUACAGCAUUAGUGAUGCGAUCCAAUCAUUAAAGAAUCCAUUGGAAGUUCCUGUUAGUCCAGUUACUAGGUUUAGAGUCAGCUAAGAAGUUCAAAGAAGCUUUCAAUAGACUUCUUCAGGAGACAUGGGCUAAGAUAGACUUCAAGAGGAUUUGUAAUAAUAAAGAGCAAGCCUUGAUUAAUCUGAUUAAUGUUCAAGAGGGGCUUGUUGGUAGAACCAAGACCAUUACACAAGGAUUGAGAGAAGAAGACUAAAUUCGGAGAGUUUAACCUUUUGUUACUCUUUUGGUCAUAAUUGGAGCUAUAGAUAUAUUUUUUAUGUGAUUCAAGUUGUUCUGAAAACUAGACUUCCAUACCUUUCCAACGGUAUAUGGCAUGUCUUCUAAUUCAUUAAGAUGAGAGAGAACCAUUUGUUUUAAGUUGAACUUUUGCUGCUGCUCCCAUACAAAAUGCGGAAACAACAAAAUUAUCUUAUUUAAUUUGUUGGGCUAUCAAACUUCAUUUAUUUUGAGAGGAGACAUUUUAUUUAGGUCUUAGACUUGUUUAUUUUAAUUAGUUUGGGCUAGUUUUAACUUGGGUUGAUUAUUAUUUAAAUUAGGCUUAUGUGAGACCCAUUAGGAAAACUAGGGUUUUGGCUUGGAGUUUAAAUAUUCUUUAGGAAUAAUUUUAGGGCAGACUUGUGAUGAUAUUUUCAGCAUUGUAGCUGAUUUUUUGGUUGCUCAAUCUUGGUUCUUGAUUGAACUUUCAACUCUUCAAAGAAUUGACUAUUUUUUGUUGUGAAUUUAUACUUUCUUUGCUCGUCUCCAGGUGUAGGCGUUGUGAUCGAAUUGGUUUAUAUUCUUGUUGCUUUUGAGCAAGUUUUUCAUUGUGAUAAGCUCAUUCAAAUCUUAACAAACUUGGAUUAGAUUGAUUUUGAAGUCGUGAAUUCCAUUAAAUUCCGCUAGGAUUCGUAUCACUUGGUAUUGUUGCCGACAAGAGUUUGAAAAAGCCUCUCUAUACCUCUCCACGUUUGAACAAGGGAGAAGUUCUAUAUUUAGAAACACAUUCAUGCAGGUACUCCCUCUCUUUUUUUCUUUUUUUUUUGUGCUUUCUAAUUUGAAAAAAUAUGUUAAAAAAUAAAAUAAAUCAUAAAAACACUAAAUCUAUAUAAGUUUAUGUACAUCACAAACAGAUUUUGGAGCUUAAAAAAAUUCCCUUGUGAAAUAAAUUAAAUAAAUAUGAAGUUUCAGUUUUCUUCAUCUUAUGUUCUUAUUUUUUGAGAGGGUCCUUGGCUACUAGAAACAAGAAUCACACCCCUAUGGGUUCAGUAGCUUUAUUCAGCCAUGCCAUCUCAGAUUCAUCCAAAUAAGGGGCCAGAAUAUCCCUACAUCUCCCAUGGUAGCUGUUAAGCCAAUUUAUCACUUCAGGACCUAGACGGGUAAAGUCGAUCAUCUUCGUUUGAUAUGAAUUUUGUGCUCGAAAGAUAAGUAGCCCUAUUGUCACCAAAAUUGAAUUUUGUAUCGGCCUCCUUGACGAUAAGCACAUUCUCCAAUCUUAUCCCGAAGUUCCCAUCCUCAUAGUAUCCAGGUUCAUCUGUUACAGUCAUGGAAGCUAAUUACGAGCAUGUGGUCUGUUACAGUUCACCAAAAUCCUUCAUGUACAUUUAGGUAUGAUCCAAUACCAUGACCAGUGCCAUGUCGAUAAUCAAGAGUCCAAGACCAUCCUUCCAUAAAGGAAUUCGAGCAAGAAUGUCAAGGGCAUGACCGUUAGUUCCGUUGAGAAAACAAGCAUUACCCAAAGCAAUGUGACCCUUGAGAACCUGGUUUGCUGGAGACGAAGUUGAUGAUGGUGUCCUGGCUAGCCAAUGCUACCCCCUGUUUCUGUUCUUUGUUUUUUUUCGGUGUUUUUUGGUUUUUUAUCUAUUAAAUAUAAAUUAUAUCUUGAGAAUUCAUCUAAUAAUUUAAAAUAUUAAAUUAAAAUAAUUCUUUGACAUAUUCAAUCUGAUAAAUACAUUUUGCCUUAAAAAAAAAAAGGGCAGCACGCGUUUUUUUCAAUUAUGGAAAAAAAAAUUAUUUUUUUUUUUCCUGAGAAGAAAUAACGAUCCAUCUUAAUUAAAGGCCUUCAGAUUUCAACACAUGAAGGGAUGCAUACAUAUCCCAGGAAUUAACAAUGGAGGAGGGAUAACUUUUAAUUGCCACUGAUUUCUUGACAAAACGCACCGUACUAAGCUGUUGUUAAGCCGUUACUUAUGCGCACCGUUUCAAUAAAUUGUAAUUCUCAUUACUGAGAAGGUUGUCAAAUCAGCACCAUCUUCUGCUCUGCCUAAAUAUCGUGGCAGUUGUAACAGAAUGGGCAUGCAAAAAAUGAAUGAGAACUGCUGUGGAUUCCCUCUUUUCUCUCCGUCUUUCUCUCGCUCCCGCUCUCUCCUUCUCUGUCUUCUCAAUCUUUCAGGUUCAACACAUAUUGGAGGAUUCUUAAUCGGGUUGUUACCUAUAGAUCGUACGUGAUCUUAUACACAUGUGAUGUAUGCAGGAAUAAUAUUGGUCUUUAAAUGGUUUUAUUUCUUAAAUAAAUCAAAGAAUUUAAGUUCUUUUCUUUUCUUUUUUUGUUUAAAAACAAUCUACUAGACUACUUUAUCCGUACCAAAGUAUUUGAGCAAUCGAAACAAAAUUAUUGUGUCACGGCCUGAUUCUCGGAUCCAUAACUAACACAUAGACAAGAUUCCCUUCCAAGAUCCUAUACUUAUAUGAAUAUAAAAUAUACAUAUUUAAAAGAGACUUGAAAAGAAGGUACAACCUGUAAUGUUUUGAAUUAAAAGAGAUAGGAAAAGGCAACAAAGCCCUUGGAGGCUUAAAUAGAGGGUAUAAAAGAAUGAGGGGUAUAAUGAGAUAUUCUGGACAGAAUUAAGGAUUAAUUAUGGUCAGAAUUUUAGUAUAGUCAUGGAUUUAUGAUAUUUUUAGUUUGGUCUUUCAAUUUGACAAAAAUUACAAUUUGACCCUUAAAAAUAUGAAAAAUUACAAAUUGGUCCCUAGCUUUAAUAUUAGCUUUUGCAGAUUGGUUUGAUGAAUAAUUGAGGGUUAUUUAGUGAAUUAUUACCAAAUUUAUUAUUUGUUUUAUUAUGGAUUAGAUUUCGGAAAAACCGUUAGAUUUUUUAGUUUUUGAAAAAAUAACCAGUUUAAUCUAAAAAUAUAUAUAGGGAUCUUAUACCAGAUAUUGGAGGAUUCUUAAUCGGGUUGUUACCUAUAGAUCGUGAUCUUAUACCAGCUUUGUGAUGUAUGCAGGAAUAAUAUUGAUCUUUAAAUGGUUUUAUUUCUUAAAUAAAUAAAAGAAUUUAAGUUAAUCUCAUUUCUUUUUUGUUUAUAAAAAAUCUACUAGACUACUCUAUCCGUACCAGAGUAUUUGAGCAACCAAAAUAAAAUUACUAUGUCACGACUCGAUUCUUGGAUCCAUGACCGGCACAUAGCUAAGAUUCCCUACAAGGUUCUAUAUUUCUGUGAACCCAAACUCACAUGCAAACUUAUACUUUAAAUAACUCAAUAGGAGUUCAACGCAACAGUAAUAACAAAACUAACUUUAUAAUAUAAUUUGAUUAUCUUAAUACAAGACUUAAUUCAAAUUACACCCAAAAAAACAUGUUUUGAAGAUCCAACAAAAGUAACCUGAUAAUAAGUUAUAAGCCUAAAAUAAAUAAAUAAUAUGAGGGUGAUUUCAACAACUCAGUGAGUAGGUAACGUUUAAUAUACAUAUACGAGCUAGGUAAUACAACAAUAAGUAAUAUAUAUAUAUAUAUACACACACACACACACACACCCACGCGCGCGCGCACAACUAUGGCUUUAUGUUCUUAUAAGAAGAUUUCUCAAAUAGGUCAUAACAAGAAUAUCAUAAGGUAAAGCUCCUCAGAAAAUCAAAAUGUAAUAAGCAUGAGGCUUCAUAUUGUGGGAUGAUCAGUCCACACAGGUUGGUGACUCCCCCGACCAACUAGGGUUUUAGAUACGAUGUGCACAAAGACUAAUACUACGUUGUUAGCAUGGGUAUUCUGACUGGCAUACCAUAGGUUCAUAUCAUAAUCAAAUAAAGAUAUUCAUAUUUCAAGGCACAACUUAUAACAUCAAUCAAAUGAUGAGCUUUGAACUCAGAAGUCAAUUCAAAAAUAUGUAUUGGUUCAUAUCAAGAAUUUAGAUUUAAUAAUUGAUCAUUUUUUAUCGUAACAAAAAUAAUAUUCAACAUAUAUUAUCAAAAAGCAUGAUCCAAAUCAUAUUAACAACUUAAAUAUUUGUACCAUAUGAAAAAUUAUUCACUCACUUAACUGAAAAGCAAACAGAACUCGAAAGUAGAUACCGAAGGAAAGCCUACUGAUGUGUCUCAGGUAGAAUAUCAUGAUUAUUUAAAUACAAAGGAGACAUAUUAAAAAAAAGACUAAAAAAGAACGUACAACUUAUUUAAUACACUUAACUAAGAGUUUGUUCCAUAACCUUAUAUGUUUUGAACUAAACUAGUCUUUUUUUUUUCAAAACCCAAAAAUUAAACGGUUUUCUUGAAAUCUAAUUCAUAAAAAAACAAAUAAUAAGACUCGAUAAUAAUUAAUUAAAUAAUCCUUAAUUAUUCAUCAAACCAAUCUGAAAAGGCUAAUAUUACAGCUAGGGACAAAAUAGAAUUUUAGGAGUCAAAUUAAUUGGAGGACCAAAUUGAAAAUAUCAUAAAUUCAUAACUAUAUUGGAAGUUUGCCCAUAAAUCAUUCUCAAUUUUGUCUAGAAUCUCUAAUUAUGCUGGAAUUUUUGUUAAAUUUUUAGGGGUCAAAUUGUAAUUUUUUCAAAUUAGAGGGUCAAACUGAAAAUGUUAUAAAUUCAUAAAUAUAUUGGAAUCUUGCCCAUAAUUCACCCUCAAUUCUGUCCAGAAUCUCUAAUUAUGCUACAGGGACCAUUUUAUAAUUUUUUCAAAGUUCAGGGACUAAACUGUAAUUUUCAUAAAUUAAUAGAUCAAACUGAAAUUUCAUCAUCUUCAACCUUAAACUCAGAUUUUUUCAUAGAUUACCUCCUGAUUUACCAAAAUCUCUAACUCAAACUCAUCAUUUAAACAGAUCAUAACUCAAAAUCAUCAUUUUUAUCUAAAAUCUUUCAAAAUCAACUAAAUAACUCAUUACCCAAAAUAAUUAACCCAUAAUAUUCAAAUCAAUUCAUCAAUCAACUCAAAACAAAAUCUUCAAAAUCUAAUCUUCAACAAAACAGUAAAUCAAAGCUAAAAAAACAUAUUUAUACACAUCAAAAUAUAAAUAUUACAUUUUAAACUUAUUUUCUCUAACUCUCUUCUCUUUUAUUUAUCUUUCCCUCUUUCCUCCUCUUCUUCUUCCUACCCUUUUCUUUUCUCUUGCUUGUUCUCACUCUCAAAUUUCAAAUCCCUCUUUCUUUUUUCCUUCUAUUUAUACUUAGUAAGGUUUUAUUCAAUUACUAAAAUACUCCUUAUUCAUUUAUAUAUACUUUUAAACCUUCAAAGGUUUUGUUGCCUUUUUUCCUAUUCUCUUUUAUUUUCAAAACAUUACACACUGCAACUUUGAAUAUUGGGAAAUCUGGCAUUUGAUGGGAGAAUUAAAAAAAAUAAAAUUAAAAGUGAAGAAAAGUGUGAAUUUGAUAGGAGAACAGAGGAGUAUAGAGCAGCAGAGCCUAAUAAUUCAUAACAAUUUUAGGAUGUGAGUAUAGAGAAAAAUUAGAGAAAAUAAAGAUGGAGGGAGCAAAAGAAGGGUGGCUGAUUGUCUUUAGAGAAUGCUAUUUUAGAUUUAAGAUUAAAAAAAAUACUUAUUUAUACUUAUUUUUUUUAAGUGUUAAAUAAUGAUUUAGUUGAAUUGGUUCGGUUAAACCAAUUUUAAAAAUUAAAAACCUAAACUGAAGUCAACCAGAAAUUUUUUUGAUUUUUUAAUUAGUUAAUUUUUUUUCUUUUCAGUUCAGUGUUUUUUUUUUAUUUUUUUUAUUUAAUCAGUUAUUCCAUUUUUUCCUCAUCCCUACUAGCAGCUGACCAGAGUACUGUUAUUUCUGGCCAAGUGAUUUUCUUUGGAGUUUCGAUCUUCAUUAAUUGUUCUCAUGAAUCUGGUUUUUUUUAAUUAAAAAGUACAUAACACCUUUGUUUUAGCAUCUAACAGUAGACUCGAAGGAUUUGAAGCAGUGUAAUUAUGUGAACACGUUGAAUAGUUAGUGCGAAUAAAUAAAGCAAUAGAUUCAUGAAAGUGACAUUGGUGGUUUCCAGGAGGCAGUGAGACUAGUCUUUGCAUACAGCACAAAGAAAGCACAAGGCAUUUACAAUUAUUGACUAAAAACAAGCUUGCUGUUUACCUUUGGUAGGUGGAGUUGUAGCUUCCAGCCAAUUUCUAUUGACUUCUCCAAAGAAAAAAACAUAAAGUUGCUUGCAAAUUGCAGUGACUUUUUUAAUAGCUAGUCUUCCACUGAGAGAGAGAUCUCUCAGUAUACCAUUGAUUUCCUAAUUUCCCUCACCAAAUCUCUUAAACCUUUCUCAUGAUCUGUGCUUCCUUUUUCUGAUUGAAUCGAAUCAUCACGUAUUCUGUUCUUGAUCUGUAUACCAUUGAUUUCCUGAUUUCCGUCACCAAAUUUCUUAAACCUUUCUCAUGAUCUUUGCUUCCCUUUUCCUAAUUUCCCUUUUCUGACUUCUGCCAAUCAUCUCGUAUAGUGUUCUUGAUCUGUCUCUUUCUUGCUUGAAAGGUAAAUCCUACUUUCUUUUCUUGUUUUUCUACCACUAAUUUUGUUUCAAAUAAGAUUUGCCCAUUUGGUUGUAGAAUUAAUAAGUAGGAUUGUAGAUUGAUCAAUCAGGUAGAACUUAAUUUUAUAUGUGUUGCUUGAUCUAUUUUAGAACUCAAAAGUCAUAUUUAUCUUUGUUCUUACAUAUUGCCAUCAACUUAAACUAUUUAUCUUGAAAACAGCUGCUCUCAAGGUUUCUUUUGUCUGUUAAGUGCCUCUUGUCAGCUUGACAGGUGACUAGUUUGCCUACUCUUUCUCAUAUUCUUGUGCUUACAUUUUCAGAUCAGCUUUCCCAGAGUUUCAACAUUGGGGCGCGUCCACACGUUUCCCCACUCAGCAAUUAGCUUCAGAUUCUUUUGUUAAAAUUCUUUUGAAUCCAGGUAAAGUGUUUAUACUUCAUCUUCUUCAUUUUGUUGCUGUCUUUGUUUUUGACAAGUAACUAUUGUUUGAAUCUUUUUAAGUAAAACACAAGUUGUACAAAUUUUAUUGAGAAACUUUGGAUUUUGUAUCAUCAAUAGUUUCCAAAUAUAAAUAAAUUGAUCUUUCUUAGUUUUAUAAAUAAAUUGCCUUAUGGAGUUCAUACCAAAUUCAUUUUUUUUUCUUUUUAUAUUCUUUGCUGUUUUUAACUUAUUAUUUUAGUUUCAACCUUUCCUUUUCUGAUCGAUGUAACUUACAUUAAUUUUAUUCAAUAUUUUGACUCUGUUUUUAUAUAUAGGGCAAAAUGGUUCAAUCAAACGACCCAUUUUGGCACCAUGUUGCGGAGAUGAAGUGUAUGUAUUGUGGGCAUCAAUUUGCUAAGGAUACUUCCAUUUCAAGGAUCAAAUGGCAUUUAUCAGGAGAGAAAGGGCAUGGUGUUGCAAUUUGUGAAAGAGUUCCUAAACAAGUUCAAGAAGCAGCUUUUCUCGCUAUGCAUGGUGCCAACAAAAGACAUAAAAGCAUAGCAAGUUCAAGCAAUGUUAAUGAUAAUGCCAUUUCAACCACUCCACAAGAACAAAACAAUAAUGAAGUCGACAAGUUGGCAGGAGAUGCAGGAAAGACACAAGCAGCAGAUAGAAUGGAUCACGCACUUGAAAAACGUAUGGAAGAGCUCAGUAAAUUGUUAAUGGAGGAUGAUAUAGAGAAUGGGACUGGAGGAGUAGUGCAGCCUGGUGCAGGAGCUAGCUCUUCUGGAGGGCUUACAGGCGACACAAAUGAGAUUCCAGGAGACGCAGUACCAACGACAAAGCUGGUGGGUCAAGCAUUCAAAGACCAUAAGAAGACUAUCUGGACUUGGUUGAUGCACGAUGAAGUUUCAACUAUUGGCAUCUAUGGGAUGGGCGGAGUGGGAAAGACGACAUUGGUGAAACAUAUAUAUGACCAGCUUCAAAAAAGACGAGACAGUUUCUGCAAUGUUUACUGGAUUACUGCUUCACAAGACACUAACAUUAAUUAAUUGCAAACAGUAUCGCCAGACGGAUUGGUGUAGAUCUCUCUAAUGAAGAUGAGGAGCUGUAUAGAGCUGCUGAAUUGUCUCAAGAAUUAUCGAAGAGACAGAAAUGGGUUUUGAUUUUAGACGAUUUGUGGAAGGCUAUUGAGCUACACAAGGUGGGAGUCCCUAUCCAAGCUGUUAAGGGAUGCAAGCUGAUCGUUACAACACGAUUAGAAAAUGUUUGUCAGCAGAUGGGUAAACAACACAUAAUCAAAGUGGAGCCUAUUUCGCAGGAAGAAGCUUGGGCUUUGUUUAUUGAGAGACUUGGACACGACACAGCACUUUCUCCAGAAGUGGAACAAAUUGCAAAAUCUGUAGCAAGGGAAUGUGCUGGUUUGCCGCUAGGAAUUAUAACCAUGGCUGCAACCAUGAGGGGAGUGGUUGACGUACGUGAGUGGAGCAAUGCAUUGGAGGAAUUGAAAGAAUCAAAAGUUAGAAAAGAUGAUAUGGAGCCUGACGUAUUCUACAUAUUGAGAUUUAGUUAUAACCAUCUAAGUGAUUCAGAACUGCAACAAAGUUUCUUGUACUGUGCAUUAUUCCCGGAGGACUUCAAGAUCCGUAGAGAGGAUUUGAUAGCUUAUUUGAUUGAUGAGGGAGUGAUAAAAGGGCUAAAGAGUAGGGAGGCAGAAUUUAACAAAGGCCACUCGAUCCUUAAUAAACUUGAAAGAGUCUGCCUAUUGGAAAGUGCUGAGGAAGGGUAUGUCAAGAUGCAUGACUUGAUUAGGGACAUGGCCAUCCAAAUACUACAAGAGAACUCUCAAGGCAUGGUCAAAGCAGGUGCACAGUUAAGAGAAUUGCCGGGAGAAGAGGAGUGGACAGAGCAUCUUAUGAGAGUUUCACUGAUGCAUAACGAGAUUAAAGAAAUUCCUUCCAGCCAUUCACCAAGGUGUCCCAGUCUUUCAACUCUAUUGUUACGUGGAAAUUCAGAGUUGCAAUUUAUAGCAGAUUCAUUUUUUGAGCAGUUGCGUGGACUCAAGGUUCUUGAUCUGUCUUAUACAGGUAUCACAAAACUACCUGAUUCUGUCUCUGAAUUGGUGAGUCUCACUGCAUUACUGCUCAUUGAUUGUAAGAUGUUAAGGCAUGUACCGUCAUUAGAAAAGCUCAGGGCACUGAAGAGGUUAGAUCUCUCUGGUACUCGGGCACUUGAAAAGAUUCCUCAAGGCAUGGAAUGUCUAUGCAACCUGAGGUAUCUUAGAAUGAAUGGAUGUGGUGAAAAGGAGUUUCCUAGUGGGUUGUUACCUAAGCUCUCUCACCUGCAAGUCUUUGUAUUGGAGGAGUGGAUUCCGAUAACAGUUAAAGGAAAGGAAGUGGCAUGGUUGAGGAAGUUGGAAAGUUUGGAAUGCCAUUUUGAAGGUUACUCAGACUACGUGGAGUAUCUCAAAUCUCGGGAUGAAACCAAAUCACUAACCACAUACCAAAUUCUUGUAGGACCACUGGAUAAGUAUCGUUAUGGUUAUGGUUAUGAUUAUGAUCAUGAUGGUUGCAGAAGGAAAACAAUUGUUUGGGGUAACUUGAGUAUCGACAGAGAUGGAGGUUUUCAGGUCAUGUUUCCAAAGGACAUUCAACAAUUGACUAUUCAUAAUAAUGAUGAUGCAACAAGUUUAUGCGAUUGUUUAUCUCUAAUAAAGAAUGCAACUGAACUGGAGGUUAUCAACAUUAGGUGUUGCAAUAGCAUGGAGAGCUUCGUUUCAUCUUCUUGGUUCCGCUCUGCUCCACUACCAUCUCCAUCUUACAACGGUAUAUUUUCUGGUCUUAAACGGUUUAAUUGUUCUGGUUGUAAGAGCAUGAAGAAGUUGUUCCCUCUUGUCUUGCUGCCAAGCCUCGUAAACCUGGAAGAUAUUACAGUUAGAAGAUGUGUGAGAAUGGAGGAGAUAAUAGGUGGAACAAGACCAGAUGAAGAGGGGGUUAUGGGUAGCAGCAGCAAUAUCGAAUUCAAACUCCCAAAGUUACGAUAUCUGAAAUUGGAGGGAUUACCAGAACUGAAAAGCAUUUGUAGUGCAAAAUUGAUUUGCGAUUCUAUCGAAGUAAUUGUCGUAAGCAAUUGCGAGAAGAUGGAGGAGAUAAUAAGUGGAACAAGAUCAGAUGAAGAAGGGGUUAAGGGUGAAGAAAGCAACAGCUGUAGCAUCACCGAUCUCAAACUCACAAAAUUAAGGUCUCUAACAUUGAGUGAAUUACCAGAACUGAAAAGAAUUUGUAGUGCAAAACUAAUUUGUAAUUCUCUCCAGGUGAUUGCAGUUGCAGAUUGUGAGAAUCUGAAGAGGAUGCCAAUUUGUCUCCCGUUGCUUGAAAAUGGCCAGCCAUCUCCUCCCCCUUCUCUUAGAAAAAUUGUAGCAUAUCGAGAAUGGUGGGAGUCAGUAGUGGAGUGGGAGCAUCCUAACGCUAAGGAUGUCCUUCGUCCCUUUGUAGAGUUUUUUGUGUGCUGACGACAGUGCCCUUAAUAUAAUAUUAAAUUAAGAGUAAGCAUUGUUGUUUUAAUUGGAUUAAGCUUAAGCUAUGUGUCUACUUAAUGACUGAUGUGUUUAUUAUAUCAAUAGGUUUGACAUUUAUUUAGAGAGUAAAACAUCAAAUGCAAGA